rnacentral:misc_RNA from 1 species
GGCAAAUAUAUAAGAUGUUAAUACGUUAUGUAGAGGUUAACUUACAAAUGUGAAUAGGGCAACCAUUUAAUAGAGACCUCUACAGCACCACCACAUUGAUCAAAUUUAUCUUAAUUUUUAAAUAAUCUUGAAAUCCUUUUCAAGGAAGUUGAAUCUUAAAUAAUAAGGAUAGAUACGUCUUUUAAUUUUUGCUGCAAAUCUUUUAUAGGAUCAGUUUUAAAAAAACAUAAUUAUAUUAGCCCUAAAUCAAUACUAAACCAUCAAAAUUUGGUAGCUUCAACUCUAUAAACCACU